UAAGGUCCUGCCAGCAGUCC
rnacentral:misc_RNA from 1 species